rnacentral:lncRNA from 1 species
AUGUAAUCUGAUUCAUUAUAAUCUAGGAUCAGGUCCCCCCUCUCCAUGUAAUCUGAUUCAUUAUAAUCUAGGAUCAGGUCCCUCCUCUCCAUGUAAUCUGAUUCAUUAUAAUCUGGGAUCAGGUCCCCCCUCUCCAUGUAAUCUGAUUCAUUAUGAUCUAGGAUCAGGUCCCUCCUCUCCAUGUAAUCUGAUUCAUUAUGAUCUAGGAUCAGGUCCCCUCCUCUCCAUGUAAUCUGAUUCAUUAUGAUCUAGGAUCAGGUCCCUCCUCUCCAUGUAAUCUGAUUCAUUAUGAUCUAGGAUCAGGUCCCUCCUCUCCAUGUAAUCUGAUUCAUUAUGAUCUAGGAUCAGGUCCCUCCUCUCCAUGUAAUCUUAUUCAUUAUGAUCUAAAAGGCUAAACUGACCCUAGAUCAGCUCUCCUGCUCUUUAUGAAUACUGUCACAGGUGACUCCUCAAGAUCAGGCUCGUGAUGUAUAAGUUCUAUUCUUUAAGAAUCAAUUACUAUCAUUCAUUGAACUGCUUUGCCAUGAACAGAUCUGUGAGGUCUUAACUUAAAGGUACUAUAUAGAUCUUAUGGUCAUUUUAAUGGGGUUGAACAUCCAUCCAAUCAGAUUGUGUAAAGGAUUUUAUGAGUUCAGAAAAAUAGCAACUUGGAAGCAUCUCUCUGACCUCACCCUGCUGAAACACACUCAAGUAAAGACCACAUAUCUACAGUUAAAUGCUUGUCUGUUUCUACCCACUUUUACAGCCAAUGUAUGGACUGGUAUCCAUAUGAAUCAG